rnacentral:lncRNA from 1 species
AGUCUCGCGCUCCCUGCCGGGCCCCGCCGCAGGUGUCCCGCAGCCGUCUCCCCAGGGCAUUUGAAUCUUGCCUUGGAGCUCUUGCCGCGCGGCCCAGCACCCUGGAAGAGGCAUCAGGGAGGAUGGGACGACGAGGAAGGGGAAGGUUAUGAAGGGCUGUGACACCUUGCUUGGCUUCUAGUCUUGACAUAGACUAAAAGGCAGAAGGUUUCCAGAGCUCACGCUGGAUGGCUGGGCAGAUGAGGUCUUCAGAGACUCUCCAGGGAGUUUUAAAUAUUCCAGUGGCCAGGAUACCCUAUCCAGAGGAAGCAGGACCGUCUCAGCUGACCAGGGCCCUUGCCUGCUAAUAGCAUCAUGCAUACCUUGUUUCUUCAUGAGGCUGCUUGCCCGAGUUCCAAUCCACCAGGAAUUCAUCUUGUAUCAUAGCUGAUGGAUCCCGUGUCUCGUUUCUAAGUUGGAGCAUCACUUUGCAGCUCCCAACCAGGGCCAGCCACAAAAUUUGAAAGGCCCAGUGCAAAAUAAAAAUGCAGAGCCCCUUGUUCAAAAAGCAGGAAAAGAAUGGGCCAGCAAAGGAACUAAAAUAAACGAAAGCUUUUCCCUUUCUUCCAUGGUCUCUCUUUUGACCUAUCAUGGUGUUUUUAUUUGCUACUGAAUAUCAUGCUUUCUUGGGACAGGGUGAGUGUCAACUGUCACACUUGCCCAGGGGCCCUGCCGAGUGACUUGGUGGGUACACAGUCCACCAGCUGCUUGCAUGGCCACGCCCACCCUGAGAUGCCACGGGUAGUGUAGUAAAAGCAUCUGAUGUCAACCCCACACCCCUCCACACAUACACACUCAGGUUCCCGCAGACCAUGGAGGGCACCAGCGGUUGCUGGGUGAGGGUGGGGAUGGGGAGGCCAUGUGGGGCCCAGGACACCAAAGGGAGGGAGACGAGCAGUCAAUAAUGUGCCUGGGAGAGGUGGCGGACCAGCAGCAGAUGGGAGCACACAUGAGGCAGGCUCCAAGUGCUCACGUAUGCUCCACUGUCCAAUGAGGCCUCACUUACACCACACAAAUUCAAAGAUAAAAUAAAGUUUUUUUUGUUUUGUUUUGUUUUGUUUUGUUUUGGAGACAAGAGUCUCACUCUGUCACCCAGGCUAGAGUGCAGUGGCGCAAUCUUGGCUCACUGCAACUUCCACCUUCCAGGUUCAAGUGAUUCUCCUGCCUCAGCCUCCCAAACAGCUGGGGCUACAGGUGUCCACCACCACACCUGGCUAAUUUUUUGUAUUUUUAGUAGAGAUGGGGUUUCUCCAUGCUGGCCAGGCUGGUCUCAAACUCCUGACCUCAAGUGAUCCGCCCCCCUCGGCCUCCUAAAGUGCUGGGAUUAGAGGCAUGAGCCACCGUGCCCAGCCUGAUAAAAUAAUUAAGAAUGUCAAGACAGCAAUCACAGAGCACUAAACCCCAAGUGCAGGGCCCUGUGCCUCUGAGGGGCUGCAUGGCCACGAAGCCACCCUGCUCCAGCAUUGGCAGCAGGAAAUACAAUCCAUUCCUGGAUGGAGGUUGGGUUAGUUCCUCAGGGCUGCUGUAACAAAGACAACCUGGGUGGCUCCAAACAACAGAAAUGGGCUAUCUCAUAGUUCCAGAGGCCAGAAGUCUGACAUCAGCGUGGUGCAGGGCCGUGCUCCCUCUGAAACCUUAGGAAGUCCUUGCUUGCCUCUUCCUGGCUUCUGGUGGCUGCAGCAAUCUUUGGAGUUCCUUGGCUUGUGGCUGUGUCACUCCAAUCCUAGGUCUUCACCGGUCUCCUUUUUAUAAGAACACAGUCACAUUGGGUCAGCGGCCCACCCUGCUCCAAUGUGACCUAACUUUAACUAUUACAUCUGCAAGGAUCCUGUUUCCAAAUAAGGUCACAUUUUGAGGUCCUGAGAGUUAGGACUUCAGAAUGGCUCAUCUUUGUGGGGGAUGCACAACCCAUAAUAGAGGUGUGGAGGAAGGAGAGUUUCUUCAAGGGGCAGGACUGGGAAAGACUUUGUAAGGAGGCUGGUCCUUGAAAGAGGUGGCAGGAGCGGGGCCACAGCAGGUUGGGAGAGGGAAGAGUGAGCUUCUCAGUUGGGCCACCAUGAGGGUGGCUGUCACUGGGUGCAGACAGCCGACCCCACUGUCAAGUUCUAGGGCUGGGCACACUGUUGCCCAGGAAGCAGGAGCUGGUCAAACCCCUAUGGGGGUUUCCUAGGAGAUAAACCCCACGGCCCAGGUAGGGCACGACAGAACAGACUGUAUGGGGACAAGAGGUUCAAUUGGCAGGACUCUUGGUAACACAAGGAAGGGUGGAAAUGCAGAGGGAACAAGCCAUGACUGUCUGCUCUGCAAACAUAACUUGUCACAUUAAAAUCACCCACUCUCUGCCUGGGCGCGGUGGCUCAUGCCUAUAAUCCCAGCACUUUGGGAGGCCAAGGCAGGUGGAUCACAAGGUCAGGAGAUUGAGACCAUCCUGGCCAACAUGGUGAAACCUCGUCUCUACUAAAAAUACAAAAAUUAGCUGGGCAUGGUGGUGUGCACCUGCAAUCCCAGCUACUUGGGAGGCUGAGGCAGAAGAAUCGCUUGAACCCGGGAGGCAGAGGUUGCAGUGAGCCAAGAUUGCACUACUGCAUUCUAGCCUGGUGACAGAGCAAGACUCCAUCGCAAAAAAAAAAAAAAAGAGGCACCUGAAAGAUGCUUCGCUAUGACAUAGAACACAUUUCUAUAGCUUGUAUUUUUGAAAACAUGUUUACCAGAUGCCCAGGGCUUUUGUUUUUGGUGUUCUGUUUUGUUCUGCUUUUCCAGCAUUUUUCCAGCAGCAUCCUACAGAUAUUUCCAACAGUCACCGUCACUUCAUCACACUCCCCAAAACUAACCACGCCAGCUACUCCUAAUGAUGACAGCAGCAAGCCCCCUAGCCCGAAGGCCUUUUCAUUUCAGAACAAAACCCUUGAUAUAGACACCAUUCAGUUAUCUGUUAAGCCUGACCAGAGAACUACCAUCGCCAAGUCAGAAAAUCACAAAAACCCUAUAGUCCUAACCCACGGUUGAAAAUUCAGUCCAGGUGCAGCGGCUCAUGCCCAAAUCUCAGCAAUUUGUUAGAUCAAGGCAGGAGGAUCACUUAAGCCCAGGAGUUCGAGACCAGCCUGGGCAACAUAGCAAGACCGCCCCAUCUCUACAAAAACAAAAAAGAAGAAAAUUCAGUCUUUAACGUAGCAUGCAUCUGUACGUAAGUGUGUGUGUGGUGGUGUGUAUAUGAGUGUUGUGUGUGUAUGUACAUGUGCAUAAGGGUUAUAUGAGUGUAUAUAUAUGCAUGUGUGUCCCAGCUUCCAAACCCCAUGAAUGGCCCCUCUAGGACUCGGGGCUAGGUCUUGCCCGCUCGUGGAAGCCUCCUUUGCUCCUCCCUCACUCUGCAGUCGCAGCCUGGCACAGUCAUGGGCUCAGUCCAUGAGAGGCUUCUCUCCCCCUGUAACAGGGAAGAGGUCACUCAGUGGGAAUGGCCAGGGUGGUGGCUUGCAGAGUGCAGGGCAGGGCCCCACCCUUGGGUUAUGCCUAUUUCGUUUCUAGAGCCAAACCUGCUCUUGGACCUUUUUAAAAGAACCUAUAUACACCGCCCCCCGACCCCCCGCCAUCCCCUGUCCCCUCUGAGAAAGACUUUCUGUUGCUUGGAGCCGAAACACCUGACUGCUGACCCAGAGGGGAUGUUCAUGCCCCAAGUCCUAUCACAUCCUCAUAAAAUGUAUUAUUUCUCCAAUUUAAGUCAUCUCCAAAGACCUCAUUUCAUGUGAGGGGAAAUUUUUUUUUUUUGAGACGGACUCUCGCUCUGUCGCCCAGGCUGGAGUGCAGUGGCGCGAUCUUGGCUCACCGCAAGCUCCGCCUCCUGGGUUCACGCCAUUCUCCUCCCUCACCCUUCCGAGUAUCUGGGACUACAGGCGCCCACCACCGCGCCCGGCUAAUUUUUUGUAUUUUUUUUAGUAGAGACGGGGUUUCACCGGGGUCUCAAUCUCCUGACCUCGUGAUCCACCUGCCUCAGCCUCCUAAAGUGCUGGGAUUACAGGCGUGAGCCACUGUGCCCGGCCGAGGGGAAAUUUGAAGAAAGAAGGAGCUGUACAAAAAUUGUGUCAACAGGAAAUAGCUGUUCAUGUCAGGGUGAGGUGGGGGACUCCAUUGACCCACACAGCUUUUGACUUGGAACUUUUUCCUUUGAAUUUGUAUCCCCUGAGUAUAACCCAAUAGUAUUCAACUUUUGAGACCUGUCAUUGUUUUAUCAUUUUAUCAGAAUGUUUGUCCAUGUCCCCUCCCUCCCCCACUCCUGGCCAGUUACUUGCUUUUAAGAGAUUUGGGCAGGGCGUGGUGGCUCAUGCCUAUAAUCCCAGCACUUUGGGACGCUGAGGCGGGCGGAUCACCUGAGGUCAGGAGAUCGAGACUAGCCUGGCCAACAUGGUGAAAACCCAUCUCUAGUAAAAAUACAAAAAUUAGCUGGGCAUGGUGGCAGGCACCUGUAAUCUCAGCUACUCAGGAGGCUGAGGCAGGAGAAUCACUGGAACCCGAGAGGCGGAGGUUGCAGUGAGCCGAGAUCGUGCCAUUGCACUCCAGCCUGGGCGACAGAGCAAGACUCCUUCUCAAAAAAAAAUAAGAAAAAAAAGAGAAAGAGAGAGAGGUUUGAUGAAUUCUUAAAGGCCAGCCCCUGGGGUGGAGGGUACCAUGGCUAAGAUGCCUCCAUGCCACACGAAAGGUCAUUAGGGAUACAGGACUCCCUGGGCUCCUUCCUGGGCCAUUUUUAUCAUGUGCAAAUGCCCAGGGUCUUAGAGGCUCACCUGAGAACACGUGACUUCACCUUAGACCAAACCUGGAGGCCUCAAGCCACCUGCAUUUGGAUGAUGAGAAACCACCACGUUAUCAGACUCAUUCAUCUUUGUAUCAACUUCAGCAAAAAGCAAUUAAACCAGGAAGCAGGGCAUAAUUCAUAGUUAUAGGAAAUCAUUUCAACUCUUCGGUACCCAAGUCAAAGACAAAAGGCAAGAGCUUUUUUGUGUAAAAUCUCUGUAGCAUAGAAAGUCUGCUAGACCUCCCUAGAAAGGACACAUUCCAGCAGCCUACGCAUAGACAUUUUCUCAGGCCUCCCCAUUUUUUCCUGAUCUCAUCCAUGUGUUUCUUCCAGCUUUGAUUGUAAAAUAAAAAUGAGAUUCAGAAAACCACAUAAAACAAACAUACAGCUGAAUGAGUUACCUUAAGAGGAAUAUCCCUGCACUCCUCACCCAGGUCAUAAAGAAGCUUUUCCCCCAUCCAGAGGCUUUCCCAAGCUCCCUCCCUCCCCAGGAAGGUGGCCACAUCCUGAUGUCCCUGGAAAUCGCCCCCUCACAUUUCUUCCUGGUGUGUCACCCUGGCCGCAUCCCUAGACACUGUUUCUAUCCAUUUGUCCAAGUCCAUCUCUUUCUUUGCCUUACAGUUUACCUGUUGAAGGUUCCCCUGUCGCUGGCCCUACUGCCCCACUCUCUGGUUGUGUUACCUGAGAUCGCUCCAAAUAUUAAUAAUUUAUACUCGGCCAGGUGCGGUGGCUCACACCUGUAAUCCCAGCACUUUGGGAGGCUGAGGCGGGUGGAUCACCUGAGGUCAGCAGUUCGAGACUAGCCUGGUCAACAUGGUGAAACUCCGUCUCUACUAAAAAUACAAAAAUUAGCCAGGCGUGGUGGCAGGCGCCUAUAGUCCCAGCCCCACUCAGGAGGCUGAGGCAGGAGAAUCGCUUGAACCCAGGAGGCGGAGGUUGCAGUGAGCCGAGAUCGCGCCACUGCACUACAGCCUGGGCAACAAGAGCAAAACUCUAUCUUAAUAAUAACAAUAAUAAUAAUAAUAAUAAUAGUUCAUACUCAAAUGCUCAUCUCAGGUACUGUGUGACAGGGCAGGUGUCGCUUCUAACCAGCCCAAUCCAAGAGAGCCUCUCCAACCACAGCCCCAGGUUAGGUGCCACCCACCCAAUGUGGCCUAGGCCAGCGUCUAGAUUGGGCCCUCAAGGACAGGACCAAUGUCCUCUGUCUUCCUCCCCACUGGCCACACAGAAGGGAGGGUGCAGUCAACUGUGGAGCAGACAGGAUUUGGGGUUCCGCAGAGCCACACAGCUGCGUGACCCUGUCCCUUUCCAGAGGGAGGAUCUCAUGGGCUGGCCAGGAUAAAGGGGAGUUAGAGGCUCUUGGAGAGAGUGGGAUGGUCCCAGAACCUCCUCACAAAAAUGGACAUUUGUAAAGCAGUGAAAGUUAAAUAAAUAAAUAAGAUGGGUCGUCAUCUGGCUCUGCCUUUAUUUUAACUUGCUUUGAGGAUGAAAGAGUCAAACCCUGGGGAGUGACCAGUUGUCUGAGAAAAAGAAGAAAAUGAGAGGCCCCUCGGGUCAUCUCUCCAAUGUAUGACCUGGUCUGGGCUCCCCUGAAUCUGCCCUGCUCCUUCCCGGCACUCAGGUUAGGAGAGGCUCCUUCUCUCCUUCUUCCUUUGGGGGUGACUUUCUGGAAGACACUCAACUGGCCUUCCUUAACUGAUAUGAGGCUUCCUGUAUGUUGUCCGUGCCAGUAAACUAUUUGACACUGAUUUUUUUUUUUUUGAGAUAGAGUCUCUGUCACAAGACUGGAGUGCAGUGGCGCAAUUUCAGCUCACUGCAACCUCUGACUCCCUGGUUCAAGCGAUUCUCCUGCCUCAGCCUCCCGAGUAGCUAGAAUUACAGGCACGUGCCACCACGCUCGGCUAAAUUUUUUGUAUUCUUAGUAGAGACGGGCUUUCACGACGUUGGCCAGGAUGGUCUCCAUCUCCUGACCUCGUGAUUCACCUGCUUUGGCCUCCCAAAGUGCUGGGAUUACAGGUGUGAGCCACCGCACCUGGCUAUUUGACACUUUCAUCCCCAAAUUAUAGCUGUUGUAAAAUAGUCCCAUUUUUUAAAGAGAGAAACCCACAUUCAUAUGCCUUUGGGUUUGGGUUUGAAGGAUGCUCUAAGCCCUGCAGUUGCUGCAAGUGCACUGGCUCAGUGGGUGGAAUCGGAAAGCUACUUCCUCUCUGUGAAGCGCUGAGCUCAGCUCAGAGCCACGGCCUCUGUGGGGGCACUUCUCCAGCUAAGCCACAUUUACAAACUUCAGCUUUCAAAGCAGUCUCCAAGCCCAAGCAACAGGGCUUCUGGAGAGCAGCUCAGCGAUGAAAUCACCCCCUAAUUAGCAACCUGAGAGAGGAUUACAUAAAAGACCCAAGAUAAUGUAAUGCUCUUUUUGAAGGUAAAAGAGAAAACUCUAAACUGUAUUACCUUUUUACCUUCUCUUCAUAUCAGAAAUCAUUGUGGGAAGCUCAUUCCUCUUUCUGCGCGUCCCCAUUCUCCUUUCCAAUCAGCCCUCCUCCCCCAACACAGGCACUUACAAAUUCUGGAAAUAUCACUGCUUUGAGAAAACAAAUAGGUUGUCAGGACAAGCGUCUCUAAAGGGAAAAUGGUUUUCCCUGGCAGGAUGAAAAACAUUAAAUCACAAGAAUUUCUGUCUAUGUGCUACCACCUGAAAUGGAAAAGUUUUGUUCAUUCCACCAGACAAACAGCUGAUGUUUAAGUCCUGACCCCGGGUGCAGUGAGGUCCUAAAGCGUAUAGCAUAACCAUCAGCAUGGCCCACUGUUGGGGGUAUGGGGAGGAGUGGAGACCAGGACCCCAUGGGCACUAGGGCCUGGGGAUCCCGCAACCAGGUUGUAAGCACCAAGGUGUUUCUUCCUGCCCAUUGUAUAAAGAAAGACCAUAGCAUUGCAGUAAAGAAAGAGUUUAAUAGAGACAAGGCCGUUCAUGACCAUGGGAGAUGGAAUUUAUACUCAAAUCAUCUUGUCCAAAGCUCGUGGGUUAGGGUUUUUUUGUUUUUUUGUUUUUGUUUGUUUGUUUGAGACAGUCUCGCUCUUUCGCCCAGGCUGAAGUGCAGUGGUGCAAUCUCGGCUCACUGCAACCUCCGCGCCUCAGGUUCAAGCAAUUCUCCUGCCUCAGCCUCCUGAGCAGCUGGGAUUAUAUGCGCCCCCCACCACACCUGGCUAAUUUUUUUGUAUUUUUAGUAGAGACAGGGUUUCGCUAUGUUGGCCAGGCUGAUCACCCGCCUAGAUCUCCCAAAGUGCUAGGAAGGAUUACAGGCGUGAGCCACCAUCCCCAACCAAGGGUUAGGGGUUUUUCUUUCCUUUUUUGUUUUUUUUUUUUUUUUUUUUUUUGAGAGGGAGUUUUUUGCUCUUGUUUCCCAGGCUGGAGUGCAAUGGCGCUGUCUCGGCUCACUGCAACCUCUGCUUCCCGGGUCCAAGUGAUUCUCCUGCCUCAGCCUCCCGCAUAGCUGGGAUUACAGGUGCCCGCCACCACACCCAGCUAAUUUUUUGUAUUUUUAGUAGAGAUGGGGCUUCAUCAUGUUGGCCAGGCUGGUCUGAAACUCCUGACCUCAGGUGAUCCACCCACUUCGGCCUCCCAAAGUGCUGUGAUUACAGGCAUGAGCCAACAUGCCCGGCCAGGAGUUUUUCAAAGGCAGUUUGGGGGAAGGGCUGUGGGUGGCUGCUGAUUGGCUGAGGUGGAGAUGAAAUCAUAGCAGGUGGAAGCUGCCCUCCUGCGAGCUCAAUAGCUUCUGGUGGGCCACAGGAGUGGGGUUGGUAGGUCCAGGUGGAACCAUAGAUGUCAGACAUGAAGAUAAAACUGAAAAGAUAUCUUAGGUUCUACAACAGUGAUAUUAUUUGCAGGAGUAAUUGGGGAAGUUGCAUAUCUUAAAACCUCAAGAAUAAUGGCUGACAAUCGUUUAUGUCUGCGCCUUAGCAGGACGCAGGCUCCUCUCCACCUCCCAGCCUGAUGGCCUCCCAUUAGCUUUACAAAAGCGGUUGAAUUUGGGGGGAGACCUAUUAACACUAUAUCCUAAAAGUCUCUCAAAGUUAGCUCAGCCCAAUAACCCAGGAAUAAUUAAGGGGAAGGCAAGACGCAGGGUGGGUUAGCUCAGAUCUCUUUCACUGUCAUACUUUUCUCACUGAUACAAUUUUUGCAAAAGCAGUUUCAAGAUCAUAGCAAGGGGCAGAAACCAGCUCCGCCCCACAUCUGAGCCCCCAAAGGAAUUCAGGUCGGGAGUCAGCAUCCACGGCCAGGGUCACUGGAGAAUUCAGGCUCAGAAAUCCUGCACAUGGGUGUCUAAACAUCUGUGGCUGACUUUAGUUCUUAUGGAACUGAAGACUUUUCUGAAGGGGAAAGAGGCCCCAUAGUGGGUAACCAGCCCCUAUUCUGUGCUUCUGCUGAGACGGCCCCUGGAUGCCAGUGAUCAGGCCAGAAUUGGGAUCCACUAGUAGGGACAUCCUGUCACCAGAAAGCAGGGAUGUUCCUGAAUAUUCCAUGAUCCCUUUCCUGAUGGCUGUGUCUAACCCACGUUUUCUCUACUCUUAGAUCCAAGCAAGGGAUUGGCUACCUGCCCCCCACAAGAUAUUUUAUUCACCUGACACGUCUUCUCAAUUGAGAUGAGCCCUUUUUUAACCAUCCAUAAACACAUUCAUGCACCAUAUGUUUCCGCCAACUACAGACGACAUAGACAACGGUGGUCCCCUAAGAUUAUGAUACCGUAUUUUUACUGUGCCUUUCUAUGUUUAGAUAUGAUAGAUACACACUUACCACUGUGCUCCAACUGCCUACAGUAUUGAGUACGUCACACACUGUACAGUUUUGUAGCCUAGGAGCAAUAGGCUUUAUCAUAUGGCCUCCUAGGUGAGUAGGAAGCCAUACCAUCUAGGUUUGUGUGAGUACACUCCAUGAUAUUCACAGGAUGACAAAAUCGCCUAGCACCACAUUUCUCUGAACAUAUUCCUGUCUGCCGGGCAUGGUGGCUCAUGCCUGUAAUCCCAGCACUUUGUGAGGCUGUGGUGAGUGGAUCAUCUGAGGUCAGGAGUUCAAGACCAGCCUGGCCAACAUGGUGAAACCUCAUCUCUGCUUACAAAAUAAAACAUUAAAAAAUAAAUAAAUAAAUUAGCAUGGCCAGGUGUGGUGGCUCACGCCUGUAAUCCCAGCAUUUUGGGAGGCCGAGGUGGGCGGAUCACCUGAGGUUGGGAGUUUGAGACCAGCCUGACCAACAUGUAGAAGCCCCAUCUCUACUAAAAAUACAAAAUUAGCCAGACAUGGUGGCACAUGCCUGUAAUCCCAGCUACUUGGGAGGCUGAGGCAGGAGAAUCGCUUGAACCCAGGAGGCGGAGGUUGCGGUGAGCCAAGACGGCACCAUUGCACUCCUGCAGCCUGGGCAACAAGAGCGAAACUCCAUCACAAAAUAAAUAAAUAAAUAAAUUAGCUGGGCAUGGUGGUGCAACGCCUGCAGUUCCAACUACUUAAGAGACUGAGGCAGGAGAAUCACUUGCACCCAGGAGGCAGAGGUUGCAGUGAGGGGAGAUUGCGCCAUUGCACUCCAGCCUGGGCGACGGAGCAAGACUGCCUCAAAAAAAAAAAAAAAAAAACCACCAAAAAAAGCACAUAUUCCUGUCAUUAACUGACACAUGACUGCUCCAGUAUGUUAUCUCUAAACAUAUAAGACUCUUUUAAAAAAUUUAACUACAGUGCCAUUACCACACCUACUAAAAAGUAAAAUAAUUCUUUAAUAACAUCCAGUGGCAAAGUAGGUUGCAGUUUACUCAAUGGCAAUUCCUCAUGUUCAAAUUCUCCCAAGUUUCAAAGGUUAAAAGGUUAAAAAGUCUUUUUUUUUUACACUUGGUUUGCUCAAGUGAGGACCCAAAGAAAACCACUCAUUAAAUGUGGUUGGUUGAACAAACAUAUGAAAAAAGUCAUCAUCACUGAUCAUUAGAGAAAUGCAAAUCAAAACCACAAUGAGAUACCAUCUCACGCCAAUUUGAAUGGCGAUCAUUAAAAAGGCAGGAAACAACAGAUGCUGGAGAAGAUGUGGAGAAAUAGGAAUGCUUUUACACUGUUGGAGGGAGUGUAAAUUAGUUCAGCCAUGGUGGAAGACAGUGUGGCGAUUCCUCAAGGAUCUAGAACUAGAAUUACCAUUUGACCCAGCAAUCCCAUUACUGGAUAUAUACCCAAAGGAUUAUAAAUAAUUCUACUAUAAAGACACACGCACACGUAUGUUUAUUGUGGUACUGUUCACAAUAGCAAAGACUUGGAACCAACCCAAAUGCCCAUCAAUGAUAGACUGGAUAAAGAAAAGGUGGCACAUAUAUACCAUGGAAUACUGUGCAGCCAUGAAAAAGGAUGAGUUCAUGUCCUUUGCAGGGACAUGGAUGAAGCUGGAAACCAUCAUUCUCAGCAAACUAACACAAGAACAAAAAACCAAACACCGCAUGUUCUCACUCAAAAGUGGGAACUGAACAAUGAGAACACAUGGACACAGGGAGGGGAACAUCACACACUGGGGCUUGUCGGGGGGUGGGGGACUAGGGGAGGGAUAGCAUUAGGAGGAAUACCUAAUGUAUAUGACGGGUUGAUGGGUGCCACAAACUACCAUGGCAUGUGUAUACUUAUGUGACAAACCUGCACAUUCUGCACAUGUACCCCAGAACUUAGAGUAUAAAAAAAAAAAGUGGUUGGCUAGGUUGGGUUCACACCUGUAAACCCAACACCUUGAGAGGCCAAGGUGGGCGGAUCAUUUGAGGUCAGGAGUUCAAGACCAGCCUGGUGUGGUGGCGCAUGCCUGUAGUCCCAGCUACUCAGGAGGCUGAGGCGGGAGAAUGGCUUGAACUUGGGAAGCAGAGGUUGCAGUGAGACUGCACCAAUGCACUCCAGCCUGGGUGACUGACUGAGACCCUGUCUCAAAAAGAAAGAAAGGAAGGAAGGAGGGAGGGAGGGAAGGAAGGAAGGAAGGAAGGAAGGAAGGAAGGAAGGAAGGAACAAAAUGUGGUUGAUCAGUCUCCAGGCCUCUUUCAAUGUAUUAAAGCCUCCCCCGCUACUUUUCCCCAUACUGUUUACUCACUGAAGAAGCCGAGUUGUUUAGCUUAGAGAAGUUUCCAGUCUGGAUUUGGCAGAUGGUUUACUUGUGGUGUCAUUAAUUUAUCCCUCCAUGCCUGGUUUCCUGUAAGACAUUGGUUUAAACUAGAGGGUCGGCCGGCAUGGUGGCUCACGCCUGUAAUCCCAGCACUUUGGGAGGCUGAGGCAGGUGGAUCACCUGAGGUUGGGAGUUUGAGACCAGCCUGGCCAACAUGGAGAAACCCCGUCUCUACUAAAAAUAAAAAAUGAGCCGGGCAUGGUGGUGCAUGCCUGUAGUCCCAGCUACUCGGGAGGCUAAGGCAGGAGAAUUGCUUGAACCCAGUGGGUGGAGGUUGCUGUGAGUAGAGAUUGCGCCAUUGCACUCCAGCUCUGGGCAACAAGAGCGAAACUCCAUCUCAAAAAAAAUUAAAAUUUAAAUUAAAAAAAUAAACUAGAGGGUUGAUUUUUUUUUUCUUUUAUUGGUGAGCUACCUCUUAGGUGAUGCUGAGUGCUUCCCACAGCAUCGCUUCCAUCAAAACUGAUCAGUGGUUUCAGGUGUUGUCAACCUGCUCUGUCCUUUAAAAGUUUUCCUCAAAAUUUCACCUACGGCUUUAGCAUCCACUGAUUAUUUUUGUCUCAAUCUGUUACUUCAGCCUGUUUAACAUGGUGACUUCCUAAUCCAAUCCUCCCUUUAGCUUUCUGCACUGACAUUUUUCCAUAAAGAAGACCUUUCCCUCCUCUGGUAUGGUUUCCCUGAGGUGCCGUUCAUGCAGAAAAAGCUGGAUACAUGUUUGACUCUUUAUGGAUUUUCAAAAUGAGUGACACCCACCAACCUUGAAAGGGAGCUAAUGCAUUUUAUUAAAUAUUUUUAUUAAUACAUAUGGCAUUUUAUAAAUUUGAUGUGCUUUGAUCCAUUGUAGCAGUUUUUCUUUCUAAUGUUCAAAUCAUUUCUUUGGCCAGUAGGACUCCUUUCAAAUUAGCUGUGUCCUUCUAAAAUGACCCAGAGCCGGGCGCAGUUGUUCAUGCCUGCAAUCCCAGCACUUUGGGAGGCCAAGGCAGACAGAUCACAAGGUUAGGAGUUUGAGACCAGCGUGGCCAACAUGGUGAAACCCCUUCUCUACUAAAGAUACAAAAAAUUAGCCGGGCAUGGUGGGACGCACCUGUAAUCCCAGCUACUCGGGAGGCUGAGGCAGGAGAAUUGCUUGAACCCGGGAGGUGGAGGUUGCAGUGAGCCAAGAUCAUGCCAGUGCACUCCAGCCUCAGUGACAGGGCGAGACUCCAUCUCAAAAAAAUAAAUAAAUAAAUAAUAAUAAAUAAAUAAAAUGACCCUCGUAGUUUUUGUUGUUUGGCACAAAAUGUGCCCCAGGUUUGUCUUGUGCAUUUCCUGCCCCAGACUGGAAUCAGCCAUUGCUCCAAAGAGCCCUACUCUUUUUUUAGAGGAAUACGGUAUUUAGCAACCAAAUCAUUAGAGAAUUAGAAGUGUUACAUGACAGAGGUCCCCAUCCAGACCCCAAGAGAGGGUUCCUGGGUCUCAUGUAAGAAAGAAUUCAGGGCGAGUCCACAGUGCAAAGUGAAAGCAAGUUUGUUAAGAAAGUAGAGGAAUAAAAGAACGGCUACUCCAAUGGCUGGGCGCAGUGGCUCAUGCCUGUAAUCCCAGCAUUUUGGAAGGCUGAAGUGAGCGGAUCGCAAGGUUAGGAGAUCGAGACCAGCCUGACCAACAUGAUGAAACCC